AGGCAAGAUGUUGGCAUAGCUGAUGAACUGAGAACCUGCUAUGCCAACAUAUUGCCCUCU
rnacentral:pre_miRNA from 1 species